CCCAGAAUUCCUGGUGGGAGCUCAUUACGCUUCUGGCCAGUCUGAAAGCCUGAGACCCUCUAGACUGGGAACACAUGGGGAGUAGAUAACCCAAGGGAACUUAUGAGCCUGACUACUGUCUUCUUCCUUACUAGACCACUAUGACUUACUGAAGAUUUCCUGAUGGUUGGACCGCAGAGCUGCCGAGAGGAGGGCGGUCGAUGAGAGGCAAGGGUCAGCUACUGGACCCAUCAUGAACGCCCACCUCCGCCGCCUCUCCAUCACAGCCGUCCACUAUGCCCGAAGAUGGAGCCUUCUGUUUCAUUCUGGGAGACAGCCCCAGACUGAAAAGGCACCAGAAAGCCCAAAGCGAUAGCCUAAUUAAAAAAAAAAAAGUAAACAAGAAGAGAGGGUGAAGGGGUCCCCAGUGCACUAAACGCUAUUUAUUUAUUUAUUUACUUUUCAAUAUAUAAAAUAAACAGUAAAAAAGAGAAGAGACGGAA